rnacentral:rRNA from 1 species
UACGUAGGUGGCAAGCGUUUGUCCGGAAUUAUUGGGCGUAAAGCGCGCGCAGGCGGUCCUUUAAGUCUGAUGUGAAAGCCCACGGCUCAACCGUGGAGGGUCAUUGGAAACUGGGGGGACUUGAGUACAGAAGAGAAGAGUGGAAUUCCACGUGUAGCGGUGAAAUGCGUAGAUAUCGGGAGGAACACCAGUGGCGAAGGCGGCUAUCUGGGCUGAAACUGACGCUGAGGCGCGAAGGCUAGGGGAGCAAACAGG